CAGCAGUCGCCACGGGAAUACAGAGGGUGCAAGCGUUAAUCGGAAUUACUGGGCGUAAAGGGCGCGUAGGUGGUUGCGUAAGUGAGAUGUGAAAUCCCCGGGCUUAACCUGGGACGUGCAUCUUAUACUGCGUAACUGGAGUGCAAGAGAGGGUAGUGGAAUUUCCGGUGUAGCGGUGAAAUGCGUAGAUAUCAGGAGGAACACCUGUGGCGAAAGCGGCUCACUGGACCAUAACUGACGCUGAGGCACGAAAGCUAGGGGAGCAAACAGGAUUAGAUACCCCAGUAGUCCCUGUCUCUUAUAA
rnacentral:rRNA from 1 species